GUAAACGCACAUACUCAACCUUAUUAGGAGUGUCCUCAUCAUUGUGUACAACUCCACCAAUAAAAAGCUUCAUAUCCAAAUCUUUUGCAUCUUCUGAGGGAUCACUACCACCUUCCAGGGAAACUCCAUCAGGCUGAAUCUCUUCCAAGUUACCAAUUUCAUCUUCAGAAUUUUCACUAGAAGUAGUCUUCUCUUCAUCUCCUUGCAUCAGCUGCUUCACAGAAUCAUUAUCCUCUAUCACUUCCUCAGCAGCAUUACUGUUCAUGACUUUUACUUUCAGCCCUGGAAUCUUAUCUUUAAGAAAAUUUAUCACACUUUUUAUCCCUUCCUCAGUUGCUACCUCAAUAUUUAUCCCCUUCUCCUCACUUCUCUCUGCCUUGACUUCAUUUCGCUGACCAUCUACUGCAGAAGCCGUCUCAACUUCAGAAGUGAAUGGGCUAUUACCAUAUUUAGAAUGUGAACUUGUGGAGUUUGUUGAAACUCCUUUAGCUCGCUGCAGACAUAUGACCUGCAUAACAUAUCUUUCAUCUGCAUCUUUGACCACAAAAAUUUCAAAUAAUGGAGUUCCAGGAGAUGCAGUGACCAACUGCCUGUAGCAAACAGUAUUUAUCAGCUCUUCCCACUGAAUGAAACAAUAAUAAAAGCCACAAAGAUUAUCACCUUGGACUGUAACUCCUUCCGACAAAUCUGCCCACUCCAGGAGUUAUUCGUACCAGUCUACCAAAGGGAUCAUCAGAAUCAGUUGAGUAGCCCACCCACCAACCUACCAAUCCACUGCCAGUAUAUUUACACAAUCUUGAAGCAUCAUGGUAUCGUUCUUCAUCUAUUGCAUUCUGCAACUUGGUCAUUAUUUCAGCAACACUAUCCUUUGAAGUAGUUUCUGCAAUGGCCAUUUUCAAUUUUGCAGCUUCUUGGAAGUCUUCCUUCUCAAUUGCAUCUUCAAGUUGGAACUUGAGUACGGAGGCGAAGCUUUCAGCUUGCUCAAUCUCAGAGAAAUGGCGACUCCAUCUAUUCCAAUCCCAAUCCAACGAGGAACUAGCAGCACCACUAAUGUUAGCGCUAUAAUUGUUAUUGUUACUACAACGGCAACACUGGAAAAUAGAGUUCUUGCGGUUAUUAUUUGGGAAGAAAGAAGACAUCUUGUUCUUGUUGCAGCGGUAAUAGUGAAUAGCAGUGUAGCCCCAACCAAAAACAAAGCUGAAAUUGGUGGAUUUCUUGGCUGAGAAAUCUAAGCAACAAAAGGGGCUGAGAUGGGGCACAGUUGCAGCAGCUUGCCCCAUCCCCCAUAUAUUUAGCGCUGUCAUCGGUCUCUCUGGGUAAGGGUUUUCUCAAUCUGGUAUGGUAAGAGUGGCGUUUCUGUUUGAGGAAAAAUAUUAUAAUUUUAAGGAUAAAACUUUCAGUGGCCAAG
rnacentral:misc_RNA from 1 species